GAGAGAACCAUUGAUUGGCUGCCUCCUGCACACCCCCUAUGGGGGAUGGGGUCGAGCCUGAACCUGGUCAUGUACCUUUGACCCCAAUGGAAUUGGGGACCCUUCAGUCCACAGGCCCAUGCUCUAUCCACUGAGCUAAACCAGCCAGGGCUAGAACUAUGUUUCUGAUGCCCCAUCAGUGUUCCUUCCAUGGCAGCGCCCGAGGCUCUCCUGCAGUACCGGUUCACAGGACAGGUGCAGCAUUUGUUAGGACACAGGUGUAACAUCUGUUAUCUGUGAAAACAACCCAUGAUCUCUAUCUCACUAGGUAACUGAAAGCACACACCUUCUCCAGCCCCACCAGCAGGUGCGUUAGAGGAAAUGUUUGGAUGGACUCAGUCAUGUACUUUGGGACAUUAAACUCUCCGAGACCCAGUCUUCUUUUGCCUCAAGGAACAGGUGUCCUCCCAGCGACCAUGACACAUACACACCACACAACCGGAUAUUGCUCACCUGCCACACCUUAGGACGAUCACAGUACAAUAUGUUUCUAUUCACAAAUACGGAAACAUUCCAGAGGCACGGAACUCCUACCUCCGGGGAGUAGCUGUUUGCGGCUGAUACAUCAUUUCUUUACAGUGCACAGUGUGUUCAUAUGUAUCGCCGGGGCCUCACAAACAACCAGUUACUCCUUCCGUGAGAAGCGGGGAUCAGCGUGAGGAGUCGACUGAAUUACUGUGUUUAUUUGUUUUUCUUUAGACUUAAGAAUACCUAGUGUGUCCCUAGUUUUCAGAGCAGAAAGUAAGAAUCGUCUUACACACAGUCACUCACUAGUUUGCAUUCAUUCAUCGAGUCCCAGCGGGACGACCGCAACCUCUAACUUAAAAGCUGGGUCUGCAGGCGAGCUGUUCUGGGCGCUGUUUUGGUGAAUCGUGUGAUUUCUUCUGCUCUGUGGACACUGAAGUCCCAACCUGCUUUCUCCCUUGGGCUCAGCAAAUUCAGGGGAAAAUAAGUGGCUGCGGGGACAACAAAAGCUGGAGACGCUCCAUUCUACACACUCAGUCGUUUCAAAAGCUAUUUUUAAACGCCAAGGCCACAGUGUCCUGUGCCUUUUGCUGGCCCUGCACCUUCCCACGAAGUCACAUGCGCAGCCUGCUUGCUGUGACUUCAUCCCACAGAUAAUGAAAUAGGCCCAGAGAUUGCUGGGACUUGCCCAAGAGGGUGGAAUUCAGGCCACUGCUUUCCCCAUGCAGUGCUCCCACCAGCUGGCGAAGGCUGCCUUCCGAACAGGCUGGGCCUGGACAGGAACCUCCACACUGUUUUCCAUAAUAACUGCGCCAGUUUGCAUCCCCACCAUCAAUGGGGAGAGUGGAAGAGAGGGAAAGAGAGAGAAACAUCGAUGUGAGAGAAGC